UGGGCACCACACGUGCGCGUGGGCAAUAAAAGGGAUCUCCUUCCCCUGGCCUGGUUCAUUCUGGAGAACCCUCGCCGCCACGCCCAACUUGGGGAAAAAAAGUUGCUAAAAAAAACUUGGGGAAAAACAGUUUAUCGAGCCGCGCCUGGCGGUUGCGGCGGCGCCCGUGCUUCGCGUCGGCAUGGGGCGGAUGGACGCUGCGGGCAUGGAGUUUCUGCUUGAUGCGGUCGACAGGUUCCCCGUACGAGAGGAGUUCGCUGACAGCCUUGAACAGCCAGAUUCGGCUCCUCUCUUUUCCUGAUGCAGAACGGGACUGAGAAUCUGGGGGCUGGUGAUUCAAAUGCUGGGUCUGGGUUGGCUCAAAAUGUCGGCGAAGAUGGGAGGGCUGCAGCGCAAGAUGGUGCCCGGCGUCGGCGUGAUUCAUCUCCGACGAGGUCUGCUCAGUCUAUGGACAGAGUGAAUCCAGAGGCCCCUGGCUGGACGAAAAGGCUUCGGCUGGGAAGCGCGCCACCAGACCGGGCACCUGGCCCUUCCAGGAUGAGUGCUCUCGAGCUGUCAACUCGCAAGUAUGCAGAACAACCUGACAAGGGCCUAGUCCGGCCUGAGCUAGGUCUCAGUUUGGAUUCAUUGGGUGAGGCGUAUGAUUUCUGUAAUCUAUAUUCUUGGAAGAUCGGUUUUGGGAUAAGGUACGGAAAAAGCAGGUUAAGCGAUGAGAGGACCAAAAGCAUGCAGGAAAUCGUUUGAGGUUGCUCGGUUAGUGUUGAGCUAUGUGCAAAAGCAUGAACAGUAGGGUGUGCGCUGCAGCCACAAUCUGAUGUAAUUUUUGCUUUGCUUGGUGCUUGCCCUACAGGGAAAACCUGAAGCAAAAAAACAGUAGGUUGUGCAGAUGCGAGUGCCCAGCUCUAAUCAGACUACUACGUGCAUCGGACAACAAUUGAUACAUCACAGAGCACCGUGAAGGGCACAACCAUUCCAUGUCGCUAACCAUGGGAGAGGGAGUGCACUGGCCGUCUCAUAAACACAUAGACGUGUACACAAAAGGAUUUGAUAAGGCAAUUGAGGGAAACCAAUGUGAACCUAAGGAAGGUGUAGAGCAUAAUUGGUACCUUUUUUGGUUCUGUUGAUAAGGUACCGUUCACAAAAAGGACUCUCAGGAAUAUUUGUGGAAGAUUAGACGUGAGCAAGCUGAGGACGAUGCGGCGGAAGACGCUGGAGGUGUUUGCUGACAUCCGUUCCAGCGACCCUGGUUUUCACCUAUGUGGUGUUGGUUCACAAAAAUCUUAUGUGAGGUAAUGGAAGCAGCCUGAUGCAAUACAAGUUCUUUGGUGAUGUGGUCACAUUCGACACUACAUACAGGACAAAUUUGUAUGGCAUGCCAAUUGGGUUAUUUGUUGGAGUUAGCAAUCACUAUUAGAGCAUUAUCCUGGCGAUAGUGUUGAUGUGUGAUGAACAAAAAGAGAGCUUUGAACGGGUGUUUGCAGAGUUUUUGCGCAUGAUGGCCCCAAAAAACAAUACUCACAGACCAAUGCAGGCUAUGGAGGUGGCGAUCAAGAAGGCUUACCCUGGCACUGUCCACCGAUGGUGCAAGUGGCAUGUCCUGAAGAAGGCAAAGGAAACCUUGGGUCCGCCUAACACGAAGAAAAGUGAUUUUCAGGCUGAAUUUCACAAGGUUGUGAAGCACAUGUUAACCGAGGAUGAGUUCAAAUCAGCUUGGGGGUUGCUGGAUAAAUACAAUCCGAGGAGUCACACAUAUAUGACCCACAUAUACGAAACCAGGAAAAAAAAAGGGCAAAGCCAUACUUCAGAGGUGUGUUCCGUGCGAAAAUGACAAGCACCGAACGAGGGCGCAAACCACAUGCUGAAGUCGUACAUGCCCCCUGCAAGCCCAAUGCAUAUUUUUGUUAGGCAGUACACGAGGUUAUAGUUUGAUUCCGAGCGUGACGAGAGCUACGAGAAGAAGAGGACCAUGAUUGGUGGCGCCGUGAGGCAGACUAACUUUGCGAUAGAGCGGCAUGCAAGCAAAAUAUACACUAGGAAUAUGUUCGAGGAAUUUGGCCGCCUCCUGAUUGAAGGAACCGCAUACAAUGUCACUGAAGUGGAGCGGAUGAGGAAAUACAUCACAACUCACAAUAAUGCAGCAAGGAGAGAGAGAAGUGGAGCAGGGUUGAGUACGAGGUGACCAUAAACGAAGACAAAUCAAUAUUCACUUGCGAGUGUGGUCUGUUUGAGCACACUGGAAUGCUAUACAGCCAUGUCUUGAGGGUGAUGGAGAUUCUUCACCUGGAGGAGAUCCCGAAGCACCAUAUCGUGAAGCGGUGAACGAGAGACGCAAGGGAUAUACUUCCGGAGCACCUGGUCCAGUACCAAAAAGACAAUUCACCGAACCUGCCUUUGACAUGUAGGCACGUGAUGCUGUACUUCAAAGCUAUGGAUGUCACGCGAAUGGGGGACGCAAGUGCUGCAUGUUAUGACCAUAUGCAUGCAGGUCUCAAAGCCUACUGAGUGGAGCACCGCUGGAGAAGAGGGAUGGUUUAGCUUUUGAGGAUCGCCUGAUUGAAAGGGCGGAUGCCAGACUCUCUGCCAAGGGCGAGAUUGCUGUUUUGGAAGGCGACACCGACCAGUGCGAAUGUGCGAUAGUGCCGGGCAUUCUUUCAGCGUGAAUGCUCUGCAGGGUCUCGCAGCGCAGGACAAACAUAGGGGUGCCAGAAGGCCAACAAACAGCAGGGAGAAGGCCCCUCACAAUUCUGCAGCAUUUGUCGUCGCGAGGGUCACAAAAGGACCACAUGACCAGAAAGAGGAGAUGCACCGAAAAAGUCACACAAGCCCGGCAAAUGCAAGAACUGCAGGAUAGAAGGCCAUCAACAGAAUACCUGCAAAAGGCCUUGGUUUCGCCGAGAACUGAGCUAUGUGGUUUUUCAGUUUGUAAUAUGUGUUAUCGUUUUAACCAGGGGAUUUUCUAGUGUGUUUCAGUUUAGCACUGCCUCUACGCUUGUUCCUCAGUCUAGAUGGACGUGUGUCGUACUUUAUCUAAGAGCAUGAACUAUGUUUAUGGUUGUCCGAACUGUUAUGAAUUAACAGAAUUUCGUACUA